UACAGAGGUCUCAAGCGUUGUUCGGAUUCAUUGGGCGUAAAGGGUGCGUAGGUGGCGCGGGUAAGUCGGGUGUGAAAUUUCGGAGCUUAACUCCGAAACUGCAUUCGAUACUGCCGUGCUUGAGGACUGGAGAGGAGACUGGAAUUUACGGUGUAGCAGUGAAAUGCGUAGAGAUCGUAAGGAAGACCAGUGGCGAAGGCGGGUCUCUGGACGAGUUCC
rnacentral:rRNA from 1 species